rnacentral:lncRNA from 1 species
CACCUUGAUGUCCACGCCGCAGAGAAACAGGCGCCUCCAAUUUGCAUCCGCGUAUACUCGUAUUCAACUUCAAAAUUGACGGACUCCCCCCUCGUAUGUUGCUGUUGCUUGGAACCCGAAAUCUACUUAACUAUCUCGAACACUUCUAAGUCUUCACCAUGUCUAGAGCUCGACUGAGAAAUCUGAAACCCAGCGCUCUACUUUCAGCUGGUUUCGUUUCUGUCCGAUUGUAGCGCUCGACUUCAGUGGCUAAUCCAAGAAACUUUUGAUUGAUGAUACAGGCUUUCAUGAAAUGUUUUUUCGCAUCAAAGAGAGCGAAGAAACAGCAGCGAAGAAUUUACUAAGGAUUACAAGGAAGGCAUUUGAAAUGGCGUAGGACCAACAAUUCCGAAAAUACGAAGAGUAAACGGGAAACUUCAUUUAUUGAUUGAUUUUGAUACAGGUUACGUGGAAUGGGAGAGAAAAAAGUCGUUAUAUAAACCGAAUCGAUUUAGUUGGAUGAAAAAUUGUUGCUUCAAUCAUUAUUUUGUGAAAAUGAAUAAACGGUACUUAAUAUAAUAAAUUCUGUCAGGUUAAAUCAACCAAACGAGAUAUUAGAAAUAGGCGGUUGAUUUGAUUGAAAAUUUGAUAGGUCCAAACAAUAUUUAGCUAUGUCAACUCAAUAAUCCGGAUAAAGAAGGGGUUACCUGAGAUUGAAUGCAAGCAAUCGCUUCAACUAAAUAUUUUUUUGUCAACGAAGAAUUCAGUAGUUCGUGGAAUCAAAUUUGAUCCACUUGAAUCAACACCUACACGUAAUUUAGUAAACAAAUUGAAUUCAUCAAACUAAGUAACUUUUAUUCUUUCCAUUCAAAUUAUGCGUAGUUGAAUAAGUAUGGUCGAGUGAACUAAAUGUGCCUUUUGUCAGGAACUUUUGAUGAUUGAAAGAAAAAAAUUAGGUUUCUUCGACCAAAAAAUCUACAUUUUGUAGGUACCACUUGUUUCGUUGAUCGAAGGCAGCGAAUACAAUUCGACUAACUGCAAAUACUUUUGUUGAUUCAAAUAUCGACACAACAACAAAAUUGUUUUCAUACAAAUAGUCCAAUGAAUCUGCCUACAUUAAUCUACAAUCACGAAUAGGCAAAUAAAUUUGACUACUUUUGAAUUUUUGCUGGUCAACAAAAAAACCACAAAACUCCAACGCGUAAGUCGCUGAGACAAAUAUAUCUCGUCAUCCAAGUGAGCAAAAGUUAACCCAAAGUUCAUACGAUAAAUAGAAUCAUAGAUAUUUUCGAGCGGCCCCCGGUUCGAAUCCCGGAAAAUAUCACGCGGCGUCGAAUCGGAAACUAAAAAUGUGUUUUUACUCCGACUUGCGAAUAAUUAUGAGUUUUUUGCAUUACUAAAGAAUCUACCAACUGCCAUAAUUAGGCUAAGAAUUUCAAUUUUAUUUUUGAUCAGAAUCAUUUCAAAUGAUUGAAGCACUAAACUGUACUGAAUGUUCAGUUGCUUGAAUAUAGUUAUGAUUUUUCAAACUAAAUAUUCAGUUCCGUUAACCGAGAUUUUCUUAAACCAACAGGACAUUAUGUUGCAUUGAUGAAACAUUUCUUGGAU